AGCGAACGCUGGCGGCAGGCCUAACACAUGCAAGUCGAACGAACUCUUCGGAGUUAGUGGCGGACGGGUGAGUAACACGUGGGAACGUGCCUUUUGGUUCGGCAUAACUCAGGGAAACUUGUGCUAAUACCGAAUGUGCCCUUCGGGGGAAAGAUUUAUCGCCAUUAGAGCGGCCCGCGUCUGAUUAGCUAGUUGUUGAGGUAACGGCUCACCAAGGCGACGAUCAGUAGCUGGUCUGAGAGGAUGACCAGCCACACUGGGACUGAGACACGGCCCAGACUCCUACGGGAGGCAGCAGUGGGGAAUCGUGCGCAAUGGGCGAAAGCCUGACGCAGCCAUGCCGCGUGAAUGAUGAAGGUCUUAGGAUUGUAAAAUUCUUUCACCGGGGACGAUAAUGACGGUACCCGGAGAAGAAGCCCCGGCUAACUUCGUG
rnacentral:rRNA from 1 species